GACGAACGCUGGCGGCGUGCUUAACACAUGCAAGUCGAACGGAAAGGCCCUGCUUUUGUGGGGUGCUCGAGUGGCGAACGGGUGAGUAACACGUGAGUAACCUGCCCUUGACUUUGGGAUAACUUCAGGAAACUGGGGCUAAUACCGGAUAGGAGCUCCUGCUGCAUUGUGUGGGUUGGAAAUUUUCGGCGGUUGGGGAUGGACUCGCGGCUUAUCAGCUUGUUGGUGGGGUAGUUGCUUACCAAGGCUUUGACGGGUAGCCGGCCUGAGAGGGUGACCGGCCACAUUGGGACUGAGAUACGGCCCAGACUCCUACGGGAGGCAGCAGUGGGGAAUAUUGCACAAUGGGCGGAAGCCUGAUGCAGCAAAGCCGCGUGCGGGAUGACGGCCUUCGGGUUGUAAACCGCUUUCGACUGUGACGAAGAGUGAGUGACGGUAAUGGGUAAAGAAGCACCGGCUAACUACGUG
rnacentral:rRNA from 1 species